rnacentral:lncRNA from 1 species
GCCAACACAAUGCCCGAGUUGGCUCCCGGAUAACGGUAAGAUGUCGUAAAAACACCUAAAGUAAGCAUUUCAAGCGCCAUGAGACUUAGAUUGAUCGAUUUUUAUAUUUUAUACUGUAGUACAUAGUCUAUGUAAAACAAUAAUAGCUGUGGCAAGUAAAAGAGGCCAGACUUUAAAGGAGGCUGUCCAGAGAAUGUCCUUUGCGUUAUUCACUAAUAACCUCUGCUGUAAACUUAACUGGUCUGGUAUUACCAUAAAUGACAAUGAAAGUAACUUUGUAAAACAAAGACUUACACUUGCUUAAAAGAGCUGUAAAAAGAAAUCCUGCAACAACUUCAGCAACUGAAUCAGAUUUUCAAUAUGAGGUUGUGCGUUUUUUGCGUGGUACAUCAGACCGCAAUGGCGGAAAAAAAGUUAGACAAGACCAAAAAAACAAACAAGCCAAGAAAAAAGUGAUGCCUACAUCAAGUUUUCCAUUGCCAUUAAAUAAAGAGGCAUUUUUUAGUUCAGAAGAUGAAUAAUAUUGUUAAAUAAAAUAAGCAUCUUUAUUUACAAAUUUGUUAUCUUUAUUUUAUUGAAAACUAUUUUAUAUAUUUUUAAAUAUUUUAAUUUUUAAACUCAAUAGAAUAAAGUUUUUGUGCAACGAGUAUUACUGUUUCUGUGUUUUUCAUAUUCAUUCCCUUUUACAGUAACCUUUUGUAUAUGAGAUUGUAGAUGAGAAUUUAAAUCGUGAUAUUGAAUCUUACCAGAGAAUAAAGAAACCGUUUACCUCAACCAGAGUUAUAUUUCAUAGAAUUAUGUUGACCAUGAUCCAAAUAUUGCCAUGGAUGUGCACUUGUGUCUUGGGCUUAUGCUUUGCAAAAGGUUCACCAUCGCCCUUAAGUUGCUGUGGGUUUUACGGUUUUACUUCCAACCUGGCAUAUUAGUAU